CCGCAAACUCAAAGAGAAAAUGAUAUCUGAAGUUCGGCAAGUUUGGCUAACUUGCUGUAUAUAAAUAUGGCGUCAAUUUCACAGCAUGUUUGGUUUUAAAGUUAUUUGCUGGGCUCUGCUCUUUGUUUAAAUUGGCAUCACUAAAUAUGAAUUAUUUGUUAGUAUAACUGGCACUGCAGGUUGUCGACCACCAACAGUGGACCAUAUCAAGUCAUACCAUAUACAGUGCUUUCAAGUCUACUGUCUUUUGUGAGAACCAUGUUUUGAUAAAAAUGCAGAUAUACGUCACAGAAGGUCACGUUUGUUAUAUAUUAAACAAAUAAAUUGUGACGCGAAGUUAAAUAGAAACACAACAGUUGGUUCAGCAGUCGAAUUGAUUCCACCAAAAUUUCGUAGCCGGAAUAUUUUCGUCAAGAGUGAAAUAAUUCUUGUUGGUUUGACAUUUCCGUGGUAUUAAAGUGAUUAAAUAAAGCGAUUAAGUACUUUUCUGUAAUUCCUUCGGACGUCGACCGUGGGCUAGAUUGUAACUUGAGACAAUAUUGUAGUUGGACUGCUUAAAAUAUUAAAGUGUUCAUAUACUGUCGUCGGUCCUCUUGACUCGUGGUUUGACGACCAAUCCAGCGAGCUUUAAAAGAAAGGUGAAAUUUGAAGACUAGUUUCUAUCGGUAGGUGGAAUACGUAUCAAUAUUUAAUAGUUUACAAAGCGAGACAUUCUUUAUAAUCAAUAUAAAGAUGACUCGACGAAAACAAAAUGAACUGUUACUGACUCGCUUGUCAGUUGAACUCUCGUG